AGUGAACGCUGGCGGUAGGCCUAACACAUGCAAGUCGAACGGCAGCACAGUAAGAGCUCGCUCUUACGGGUGGCGAGUGGCGGACGGGUGAGGAAUACAUCGGAAUCUACUUUUUCGUGGGGGAUAACGUAGGGAAACUGACGCUACUACCGCAUACGACCUACGGGAGAAAGCAGUGGAUCUUCGGACCUUUCGCGAUUGAAUGAGCCGAUGUCGGAUUAGCUAGUUGGCGGGGUAAAGGCCCACCAAGGCGACGAUCCGUAGCUGGUCUGAGAGGAUGAUCAGCCACACUGGAACUGAGACACGGUCCAGACUCCUACGGGAGGCAGCAGUGGGGAAUAUUGGACAAUGGGCGCAAGCCUGAUCCAGCCAUACCGCGUGGGUGAAGAAGGCCUUCGGGUUGUAAAGCCCUUUUGUUGGGAAAGAAAAGCAGCAGGUUAAUACCCCGCUGUUCUGACGGUACCCAAAGAAUAAGCACCGGCUAACUUCGUG
rnacentral:rRNA from 1 species